UACGGAGGGGGCUAGCGUUGUUCGGAAUUACUGGGCGUAAAGCGCACGUAGGCGGCUUUGUAAGUUAGAGGUGAAAGCCCGGGGCUCAACUCCGGAAUUGCCUUUAAGACUGCAUCGCUAGAAUUGUGGAGAGGUAAGCGGAAUUCCGAGUGUAGAGGUGAAAUUCGUAGAUAUUCGGAAGAACACCAGUGGCGAAGGCGACUUACUGGACACAUAUUGACGCUGAGGUGCGAAAGCGUGGGGAGCAAACAGG
rnacentral:rRNA from 1 species